CUACGGGUGGCACCAGUGGGGAAUAUUGGACAAUGGGGGAAACCCUGAUCCAGCAAUGCCGCGUGUGUGAAGAAGGCCUGCGGGUUGUAAAGCACUUUCGGUUGGGAGGACUGCUUCUAGCACUAAUAUUGUUGGAAGUUGACGUUACCUUCAGAAGAAGCACCGGCUAACUCCGUGCCAGCAGCCGCGGUAAUACGGAGGGUGCAGGCGUUAAUCGGAAUUACUGGGCGUAAAGCGCGCGUAGGCGGCUAGAUCAGUCGGGUGUGAAAGCCCCGGGCUGAACCUGGGAACUGCAUCCGAUACUGGCUAGCUUGAGUACAGGAGAGGAGAGUGGAAUUCCACAUGUAGCGGUGAAAUGCGUAGAUAUGUGGAGGAACACCAAUGGCGAAGGCAGCUCUCUGGCCUGAUACUGUCGCUGAGGUGCGAAAGCGUGGGGAGCAAACAGGAUUAGAUACCCUCGUAGUC
rnacentral:rRNA from 1 species